AUUGAACGCUGGCGGCAGGCUUAACACAUGCAAGUCGAGCGGGGUGAUGGUGCUUGCACUAUCACUUAGCGGCGGACGGGUGAGUAAUGCUUAGGAAUCUGCCUAUUAGUGGGGGACAACAUCUCGAAAGGGAUGCUAAUACCGCAUACGUCCUACGGGGGAAAGCAGGGGAUCACUUGUGACCUUGCGCUAUAGAUGAGCCUAAGUCGGAUUAGCUAGUUGGUGGGGUAAAGGCCUACCAAGGCGACGAUCUGUAGCGGGUCUGAGAGGAUGAUCCGCCACACUGGGGCUGAGACACGGCCCAGACUCCUACGGGAGGUAGCAGUGGGGAAUAUUGGACAAUGGGGGGAACCCUGAUCCAGCCAUGUCGCGUGUGUGAAGAAGGCCUUAUGGUUGUAAAGCACUUUAAGCGAGGAGGAGGCUCUUUUGGUUAAUACCCAAGAUGAGUGGACGUUACUCGCAGAAUAAGCACCGGCUAACUCUGUGCCAGCCGCCGCCGUAA
rnacentral:rRNA from 1 species